rnacentral:lncRNA from 1 species
UAUCUUUCUGUGGGACGCCCUGCGCAGGUACUUGUUCAUCGCUUCAGCAAAAUUGACAUGUUUCCUCCAUCAUUUGCUCUUUCUCCAAUUCCUAAAUUCUCUUUUCUUUAGCUCUUUCUGUGAUUCCUAAUUUGUCUCCUGUAGACCAUAUUAGGCCAUAUUAUACCGUAUGUAUGUGCUGCAAACUUUAGCUAAAUAAUUGCAUGUAUUUGUCUGUUACACUAUCUUCACCAUCGAACCACCACAACCCCUCAAAAAUGUAAAAUUGGCUUUCACACUUUCACUCAUUCAAAACUUAGGAUUUCAACGGUUUCUCCAUUUCUGUUUUCCCUAUUCUUUACGCUUUUAAUUCCUUCAAUAGUUGUCCAAACAAAUUCAUUGCCAAAAGGAAAAACAAACUUUUUCAUGUAAUAUAAUUAAUGAUUCAUUUCAUUUGUUCCAUAUGUAGUUCUAAAUUAUUUCAUAUUGAAUUUGCUGAAAUUCAAUAUUCCUAAAUAAUCAUUUUUUCCUGCAGAAAAUUGCCUGUAAGUCACCCAUAAAAAUAGCAGUCAUACAGAACAGCCCACUGGGUCUGCAGCAGCCUGUUCAUUAUCACCACCUUAGAGGGAUUCAUUCAACUGCUGACCCAAACCUUAUAUAGAUGCUAACCAGUCCACAAGAUUGAGAGACAUCCCACACAUGUUUACAGGUACCUUAUAUGUUUUUUCACAUGAUCUAUACAAUUUGAUACAGGCAGGAGCUAUUCUCCCAUAUUUUACUUCACCUGUUCACUCCAGUAAGAGGGUCUCUCAUAAUGGUAGUAGGAUCAACUUUCGGCAAUUUAUUUGUGCUCCUAAUUUACUACUUCUCUUAUUUAUUUAUUUACCAAUGUUUGCACAUCGCUUUUCCUUCAACUCUUUUAAUUAGUAUUUCAGCUUUCUUCUAUUUUGUGUUAUUCCAGAUACUCGAAAUUAUGAAUGCCUAUUAAAAAUCAUUACCUCGUACACAUAUUUCAUGUUAUAUAAUUGAUGAUUCAUUUCAGCUGUUCCAUAUGUCGUUCUAACUUAUUUCAUAUUGAAUUUCAUGCAAUUCAAUAUUCCUAAAUACUAACUUGAUUUUACAGCAAAUUCCCUGCAACUGAACAGUACAAAUACCGCUAAUACAGAACAGGCUGCAGGGUCUGCAGGAGCUUUUUCAUUAUCAGCACCUUAGAGCAAUUGCUUCAACUGUUCACGCAAACCAUAUAUACACGCUAGCCCAUCCACAAGAUUCACAGACAUCUGACACCUGCUCACAGGUACGUUAUAUGUUUUCUCCCAUGGUCUAUACAAUUUUAUAGACGCAGGAGCUAUUCUAUCAUAGUUUACUUCAGUUGUAACAAAAACAUUUCAAAUACAUUCAGAAUUGUUAUCUUACCCAUUUGUAGUAUUCAGUCCAGUAGGAAACUCUCUCAUAAUGCUAUUAGGACCAACUUAUAGUACUUUAUUUCUACUGCUGAUUUACUACUUCUCUUAUUGCUUUACUUUCCACUCUUCGCACAUCACUUUUUGUUCAACUCCUUUAAUUACCAUUUCAAGUUUCUCCAAAUUCCUGUUUUUCUGGACAGUCCAAACUGUUAAUGCCUAUUCAAACUCAUUAACUGCUAGGCCUAUCACUCUAGGGAAAUAAUUGCUUCUAAGCUUAUUUUAGAUAUUCCUUCAACCAAAGAGAACUCUUUAUGACGAAAAGCUGAUUUUAGAUAUGAGAUGAGUAAUCUGUGGGAAAAACGAAUAAAUCAUUUUAGUUUGCAUUUGAAGAUAGCACAAAACUUUGUAACUUUGUAGAAGUUAUGCAAAUUUAGCUUUCUUUAUCAAUGUGAAUAAAAAGGAGUAAGCAUUCUUUAGUUUUUUUUUUUUCCCCUCCACUUUGUAGGUCCUCUAUUCUUGAAUAAGGACAGAAAACUUCUACAAAGUUACAAAGUUUUGUGCUAUCUUCAAAUGCAAACUAAAAUGAUUUAUUCGUUUUUCCCACAGAUUACUCAUCUCAUAUCUAAAAUCAGCUUUUCGUCAUAAAGAGUUCUCUUUGGUUGAAGGAAUUCUCAUGGACCAUCAAAAGCACUUCUCCACAAAUAUUCAAAAUCUUAACAGAGAUUCUGAUUCUCUAAAGAGUCGGUCAGAUUUACCAGAGAUGCUUUUCAUGAAUAUCUCCAUCAGCACCAGAAGCUUUACUAUUCACUUGUACA